rnacentral:lncRNA from 1 species
GGGGCGCCUGUGGGAGCCGUGGAGGGAACUUUCCCAGUCCCCGAGGCGGAUCCGGUGUUGCAUCCUUGGAGCGAGCUGAGAGCUCGAGAUCUAAAGCUUAAGGACUAUGGAGUGGAUCUCAUUGAAGUUUCAGGCAAUGGAUGUGGGGUAGAAGAAGAAAACUUCGAAGGCUUAACUCUGAAACAUCACACAUCUAAGAUUCAAGAGUUUGCCGACCUACCUCAGUGAUGUCACCAUUUCUACCUGCCAUGUAUCGGCGAAGGUUGGGACUCGACUGGUGUUUGAUCACUAUGGGAAAAUCAUCCAGAAAACCCCCUACCCCCACCCCAGAGGGAUGACAGUCAGUGUGAAGCAGUUAUUUUCUACGCUACCUGUGCACCAUAAAGAAUUUCAAAGGAAUAUUAAGAAGAAACGUGCCUGCUUCCCCUUCGCCUUCUGCCGUGAUUGUCAGUUUCCUGAGGCCUCCCCAGCCAUGCUUCCUGUACAGCCUGCAGAACUGACUCCUAGAAGUACCCCACCCCACCCCUGCUCCUUGGAGGACAACGUGAUCACUGUAUUCAGCUCUGUCAAGAAUGGUCCAGGUUCUUCUAGAUGAUCUGCACAAAUGGCUCCUCUCCUCCUUCCUGAUGUCUGCCAUUAGCACUGGAAUAAAGUUCCUGCUGAAAAUCCA